GUUGGGAUGGGGUCUCAUGAAAUUGUUGAGGAUGCCCUGGAAUUUGUGAUCCUCCUGCCUCAAUCUCCAUAGUUACUGGAGAGGAAGGACCACUAGCUUCCACCAACCCUAAAGCUAAGAAUGCCAGAAAAUAACAUCUGAGCCAGGCAUGGUUGUUCAGGUUUGUAAUCCCAGCUUCUAGAGAUGCUGAGGGAGGAGGACUCCAAAUUCAAGGCCAGUAUUAACAUUUUUUUGUUCUGGGGAUUGAACCCAGGGUUGCUUUAUCACUGAGCUACAUUCCCAGCCCCCCUCCCCCGCCCCCCCUUUUUUUUUUUUUUUUUUUUUUUUUUUGAGACAGGGUCUUGCUAAGUUGCUUAGGGCCUCACUAAAUUGCUGAGGCUGGUUUUGAACUUGUGAUCUUCCUGCCUCAGCUUCUGGAGCCACAGGGGAUCACCAUGCCAGCCUCCACAAUUUGAUGAAAAUUUUUAAAAAAGGUCAGGGGAUGUAGCACAGUAACAAAGCACCCCAAGGCUUAAUCCCUGUACCAAAACAACCAACCAAGAAACAUAGAGAUUUAGUUAGGCUGUGCUUUAUUAGAAAUUCGUCAACCUUAAUUUCCUCGGCAUUUAUCCUCAGAAUGAGGAGGUAAAAACAGUUACCAGGAAGUUGCUUUUAAUUUUGAAGGGCAUCUGCUUCAGAACUGAAGAUUGAAGACUGG
rnacentral:lncRNA from 1 species